AAGAUACCUUGAAAUGUUUAAAACGGUUAAAGAAAAGUCACAAGUUGAAUUUCAAUUUUUAUCCGUUGAAUGUCUUAACCAGAUUUUGUUAUAAAUGGCUAAACAUGUCAGACGAUAUUCGACUGAAAAAGCUGUUUGAAAUAAAGAUGGCAAAUUGAUAAGAAAUACUCUAAAAUUUAUCGGAUCCAAUGUAUUGUUAAAAGAUCAGAUAAUUACCAGGCCUUUUCUCUUAUUACAUCAGAUGUCAGUAGAAAAAACGUUUGCUUUCUCUUUGAUUUUAUCUUGUGAUUUUUUCUUUGUUUCAUUUUAAAAUGUUCAAUCAAUCACAAGUUUUCAGUUAAAAAGUGAUUUAUUUAGUGUUUUCAAUUCUUUUUUUGCCAUGUAUUCCGAGGUGGGAUUGAUUGGAUUAUCGGACAAAAAGAUUGGUAAAAAAUUGUGCAAAAAAGUAAACCUUUUUCUUCAACCAUCGAUCCAUUGAAAAUUGGUGAUGAUUGGCUAGUUAUUUUAUUCAAUUUUACAUUGUUUUUUGUUAUUGAUUUUUUUCUGUCUUGCACUUGUUCUUUGUAUCAAUCUAUUUGUUAUGUUAAUUCAAUUUGAUCAUUUUAUUAACCCAUGUUAACAUUGAAAACAAUUAUAGUCAUCAUUGCUUAUUCACAAUGAAUCCUAACGACAUCUUUUAUUUAAUUUUGUUUUUUUCAUUUCACUCUUUACUUUCUUCUUUUUUGCUUUUCCCUGUCCUUUUUGCAAAUUGGUUCAUCCAUUUUAAAUCAACAUUUCCAUACAUCAGAACGCAACUUAUUUCUGUGACCUCAUUAUCAAAUUUGAAAAUUUGGUACGUCGAUCUAGUUUGCAUGUCCAUGCAUGAUAAUGACUCAAUGCUUUAAUCCAGUGUUCAAUUGAGCGGGAGAUUUUUCACAAUAAUCAUUCAAAGGAAACAAAUAUUGCUCGGAAAAAUUAUGACUGGUUACGUAAAACGCGAUUUUUACACGAAGCGAUUCGCUUCUCAUUGGUACCUUAUUAUGAGAUUUUGAUGGUUCACUGAAUCAUUUUAAACUCUUUGAUAUGCAAGUUGUUAUGAUCAACUAAUGAGAUAAGAUUGGUAAAAAGAAAUGGAGAUUAACAUGAAGUUUCAAUGGAAAAAUCAAUAUUCAUGGAACCAGGGAGGCGAAGAAAAAGUAUCAGUUGUAUACUAAUAAGGUGAAAGAUUCAAGACUAAAGGAAACAAUUAAUUUAAAUAGAGUUAUACAUGAACAAAAGUUAUAACAUCGUUCAUCAAUGUUAAGAACUGUUUAGUUGAUAUCAAUAUCUAGAUAGAUCAUCACUGUUUAUUUCCCAAUUCAUUUUUUGUUCAAUGAUGCCUUUACUGGAAAUGGUUUUCCCUGAAAAAUUAUCAAUAUCCGAUUUCUCAUGACAUCUGGUAAAUAAUACAAUAAUAAUACUGAUCAUCGUGUUUGCUCUGAUGCUGCUCAAGACUACACUGGAGCUCCUAUGAAUGGUUUGAAGUGAAAGGAAAUUCAAGUACAGAAAGGAUGACCAGAAAGAGAUGCAGUAAUCAAAUCAUUUGAUCAAAUUUUAAAGUCAAGAUUAAUAGGCCUGUGGAGUUGCUGAUUAUCAAUAUGAUUACCAAAUCAUUUUCAAUUUCAUAUCGUAAUCAGAGUUAGUUGGGCAACUAUUUCCUGAAGAAAUACUCAUUUGGUGAAACUUAAUGAUCAAUAAAGGAGGAAAAAUGACCUUAAGAUAUCAGCAGAUUAUUUAUAAACACACUCUUACAAACUCACAAAUUCACUCAAUGAAAAACUCUCAAUAAGCUGAAUGUAGCUUGAAAGAAUACUCAGUCUUUGAAGGUUCUUUUAUCAUUAAUGAAAUAGAGAGAUGAGAAAAUGUAGAAUAAGAAGAGUAAAGAGAUGAUAACUACUCUUUGAUUCCAACGUUUACUUCUCUUAUUAGCUGGUAACCUUUAGUCAAAGCUUACAACAAAAGUUUCCUUUGCAAAAGAGUUUACUCUCAAGUGAGAGAUAAACAGAGAUCGUUAUAUUCAUCAUACAAAUUGUGGAUAUAUUUAUAUAUAUUAUCCAUUCUUUAUAAUAGUUUUUAUCCUUUUCUUAUCAUUUUAUCUUAUUACUAACCUUCAUCUCUUUAUUUUAGUAACUCUGAUUAUGUUCAUCUCACUCUCUCCCAAUUGAUCAACCAUGCAAGCUGAUUGUUAUUAAUCCCAUUUCCUUUCCUAUCUCAAUUCAUUUAGAUUUUCAAAGGGUAAAAUUGUCAUCAUUAGUGUCUUCAAGUUUAACCCCCUGUUUUGUUCACCAGCAUUUGAAUUACUCUGAUUGUUUAUUUCCAACUCUUCCAGGCCUUUUAAUUAUAUAAUAUAAUCCGUUUUCUCUCUCUCUCUCUCUUUCAUUCAUCCCAGAAUAAGUACAGUCUAAGACCAUGGAAGAAAAUGUGAUCCAACAAGAAAAACUUGCAACCUCUGAAUGUCACGAUUCAACUAACUCAGAUUCAAUCAAUGCUUGAGCAAGUUAUAAGUCAAAUCAUUGGAAAGAAUUUCUUGAGAAUUCUUCUUUCACAAUUUCUUCGCCCUUAGCUUAUUAUCAAAAAGGCAUCAAAGAAUAGUUUAAAAGAUUAAUUAUUACAUGAUCCCAGAAAGUCUGAACAUGAUAAUUUAAUAAACGAUUUAGCUAAAUUGUGAACUUUCCUAAUGUUAUGCACAGACUUUCCAGUUGCUAUUAACAUUUAACAAUCUGGUCUAUUUUUGGUUUUCAUUUAUCUAAUUUUUUUUUCUUACUCUUUUCAGUUGUUUCUCCAAGCUGGUCAACAUUUAUUCUGGUUGGGUCCAUUUGAUUUAAGCUUGGAUAUAAAAUAGGAUAACUUGGGAAAAAUAACAACAUUGAGCGGUUAUGUCAACAAUGACUACUUCCAUCACACAAUAUUGCUGGAAGCUUGGCAAUAAAUCUUCACUAUUCUCUAGUUCUGCUAACUACAUGUUAUAUCCAUGAACUAAAAGCAAAUUCACCUUUCAGUUUAUUUUAACUUAAUAAGGUGUUGAUGAAUAACCAAUUUCAUCUCAAAUAUUUUUCGGUUAACUCUUACAAGAAAUAAUUUUUUGGUUGCCAGAGUUUCCUUUCAUCGAAAUGUCCAAGUAAAGGUUUUGGAUUAACAUUUCAAUCUGUACAAUGAUGAAUUUGUGGACAACAUUCCUCUCAAAUAUACCAGAUAAAAAAAUGACAAAUGACCAGAGAAGUACAUGUUUGACAUUUAAGUUAAUCUCAUCUUACAAGGAUUUUUGACCGAAUGGACUACCAAUCGACUGAAUUUGAAACCACACUCACCACUAUCCAUUCACAGUCCAUUAAUCACGUCAUUGAAAUAACUAAUUGUUCAGAAGGGAAUUGAAGAACUGUAAUUGCGAUGAAAUUAAAUAUGAUUCCAAAGCGAUUCUUGGAUGGUUAAAGGAGUAAAUGAAGAGGAGAGACCAAGAAGGGUUAAAGGCUGGAAUGAUUUCAAAUGAUGUUUAACCGAAGUGGAGAGGAACCAAGCAACGUAAAAGUUAUACUUAUUGACUAACAGUCGAGAAUGAAUCAAAGAAGGAUUUUCAAUUAGUUAUUCUCUUUUAAUGAUGAAUCAAUAUAAUCAACAUCAACACGGUGUCAGAUGAAUACACGAGGAAAAGACUGAAAGAGCUGUGAUUUUUCGAUGAAAAAGAAACUGCAACAUGCUUUACCUUUUUUUCAUCAUUUAUUUCACUGGAAACUGUUUAUUCCUGAAAUGUCUUUAAAUUCUAAUUUGCUGAUUUGGAGGAAAAGUAUAAAUCUAAUGACAAAUUUUGCCAAUGUGUCCAUUUAAUGGCACUCUAAUGGUAAUCAUCGUGUAAUGUGUUUACCUGUAAAAAGUGGAAGUUGAAACUCUUGGAACACAAGAGGUCCAUAUUUUUUCGGGAAUAAAAAAGGCUAAAAGAAUACAAAACUUGGAAAUUUCGUUGCUCAUAAUGUGUAUUAUUUGAAGCAACACUUUUCUUGAGAUUUCACGCAAUCUGCUCAUCAUCAUGGUUUUUCUGGAAAAGCUUAGGCAUCAUUAACAGCUUCCCAUCGACAGAAAGGUUUUUGUUUUUUACUUACACCUUAAAGAGAAAUAUCAACAGACUGACUAACACUUUGUUCACAUCGGAAUUUAACUUAAACAAGUAAAUCGAAGGAAUAAACUGAUGGAUUUGCUUGGAACAAAGAUUUGAAGGAAAAAGAGGCGAAAAGGAAGUUCUGAAGAGCACCAGAAGCUUUGAAAUUUCAACCAAAGAUAAUGGUGACAAUUGGAGACAGAAUUGAAACAAGAAAUGAGAGCAAAAAAGUGAAAUAAAACAUAGGAAAAGGAAAGACCAAGAAGAUGGUUAAACUGACGAAACAUUAUGAAAGGAAAGGAAUGGAGGGCUUCAAAUGGGAACAAGAAGUCGAUAUUAAUAAGGACAACAAUAUCAUGUUUGAAGAGAAUGUUAUUUCUAUUUCAAGUGGUAAAAAGGUCCAAAAAUAUUGUCUAAAUUAAUAAGCUGAUAAAGAGAGGACAAGGAGAAAGGAAAAGACAGAAGCUCGGAAAACAUGGAAACCGAGAUGAACAACUCAAUCAUAUUGAAAUUACUUGAGUCUAUAUAAAUAUUGUUAACACUGAACGAGAAAGAUGAUCGAGAAAAUAUGAAAAAGAGGUAAAAAAACAAAGGCAACAAAAAAGUGAAAAGAUGAAGGAAAGAAACAAUUCUAAAGCACUUCAUAUUUCGUUUUGAUAUAACUGUAAAGGCACCACUUUACUUCACCACCAUCAUCUAUUUUAACUCCCUGAUUAUUUCAUCCCAUUUUUGUGUAUUUAUAUAUUUAACUUCACUAUUGGUACACAGUAUUUCAAUCAAAAUCCCUGUCAACUUUCCUUAACAAUUCCUCCAACAUUUUCAUGCCUUCUCUUCUUUCCCUUGCCUUGUCUUUUUCCUGGUCUUUCUCUUGCUCUUUCCUUUUCUCUUUCUACCAAAUAUAAUGUCAAAACCAUUGACAGGUUUUAGGUUUCUUGAGCUGGAAAAGGCAAAGAAAAAGAUAGAAAAGAAAGAAAAGAAAGAAGAAAAAGGCAGAAAAAACCAAAUAUCAAGUUUUAUUUAAAGGGAAACGAUAAGAGGAAAAGGUUUAUCGCUGACUGAGUGUGAGUAUGAAGCCUAAAAUCGUCUUUCUCUUCCUUCAUUGAGUAUGUUUAACACUUGGAAUGAUGGAUACUGACAAAUAUAUCAAUCAAACAAGUUCAUGGAAACACCAUGUUAUCUAAAUGUGUUUAAGCCAGUUACAAAGGAAAAGCAAACGAGAAGAAAAUAAAAAUCAAUUGCAUCCAUAAACAUAAUAUAAAUGUACUUCUAAAGUAUCUCUCAUCUUCAUUAUUAGGCCAGUUGAUUGGGAACAUCCAACAAUGAAAAACGGAACCAAGAGUUUAACAUUAAAUCAGAGAUUAAUUAUUAUGUGAUGACCGAAUUUUUUGGCUCUUCCUUUGGUUGAUGACAAGACAACGUAAGAGCAAAUUAAAAGCAAUUAAUCAAUUGAAGAGCGUGAAAGUUGAAUGAAUGA